AGAAAGAAGGAAAAAGUAACAUUGAAAUUUAAAAUGUUUGGGCCAGGGAUUUAGCUCAGUGGUUUCACUGCCUGCUGCGCAAACGCAAGGACCCGAGUUCGAUCCCCGGUACCAAAAAAAAAAAAAUUUAAAAUGUUUUAUUUCUUUAAAACUUUUAAAGAAUAGUGUAGGGCUGAGAGUGUAACUCAGUGGUAGAGUGCUUGCCUAGCUUGCCCAAGGCCCUGGGUUUAAUCCCCAGCACCACAAAAACAGAAAGAAUGAAAGAAAGAAAGGAAGAAAGGAAGGAAGGAAAGGGGGAAAGAAGGAAGGGAGAGUAGUGUUGAACUUGUGACCCCUCUGCCUCAGUCUCCCAAGAACUGGUAACACAGGCAUGUGUCACCCAGCUAAGCAGUGUCAACUCUUGCUGCCCCUAUCUUACCAGGUAAUUCAUGAUACAGAGCAAGCAAGAUUUCUACUAGUUGGUGAACUGUCAUACUAUUUUUUAUGUUAUUUUGUGCUUUUUGCAAUGCUAGGGAUUGAAGUAGGGGUUCAUGAAUACAGUGCUAGAGAGGUUAAUCCCCAGCCCUUGGUCUUUGGACUAGGAAAUAUGGGCCAGCUGCUUUCUAUUAGGAAAUAGAAGAGCCCUGGACCAGCUGCUAAGUUCACAAGGCAAGCAGAAGGAGGCUCAUCAUCUGGGAUAUAGAAGAAAGUCUGGAGGCCCAGCCACAUAUGAGGCUGGUAGAUGGAAAAAAGUGGGUGCUGAGAUGCUUUGGAGAUAUCAGGAUAAGAAAAGAGGUGUACUGGGGGAAUAUAGCUUAGUAGUAGACCACUUGCCUAACAUGUGCAAGACCUGGGUUCAAUCCUCAGUAUAGCAAAAAAAAAAAAAAGUAUGGGUAUUGGGAUGUCUUUCUUGUUCAGAAAACAAUGCUCCAUGCAUAGUCCUAAUGACAUCUGAGAAAAAUGCCAUAUGAGCUAAACAUUCAAUCAGUUUGGUGGGAAAUGAGGCCAUGACUUAGACAGGUACUGUCUAUGAGAGGAGGAGAUGGUGGAGAUGAAGUUGAAUUUUUAAGCUUCCACUGGGCGCUUCAGGCCUAACAUCUUACUUCCUGGUCGCUAGUGACUAUUAGAGGAGAAAUGAAGUACAGAGUAUGAAGUAGCCUUGAGACUAUCAGGAAUUUCAUCUGUCUGACUUUUGUUGUUUUUUUCGUUGUUGUUUGAGAGAGGAUCUCACUACACAGCCCAGGCCUCGAACUCACCAUGGAUCCCAGACUGAGCUUGAACUCAUGGCCAUCCUCCUGCCUCAGUCUCCUGAGUGCUGGGAUUAUAGGUAUACACCAGAACACCCCACUCUGAUUUUUACAUAUUUGAAUAUUUUAUAUAGUCAAAAGAAUUCACAUUAUAUAUCUGUCAAUUAUAUGCGAAGUAAAAGAAACAUCUGGGAACCUACCACCCACAUUAACAACCAGAACACUACCACUGCUCUUGUCUCUUGCCUUCCCUGGUGAUGACUACAAUUCUGGUAGAAUUGAUUUUUUUGGUACCGGGGAUUGAACUCGGGUCCUUGCGCUUGUGCAGCAGGCAGCAAAACCACUGAACUAAAUCCCCAGCCCAGAGAUGACUACAAUUCUGAAUUUGUUCCACAAUCUUUUGCUCCUUUUCCUCUUCUUUUUCUGGGCCUGGCAUAUGGUAGGCAAGUGCUCUACCAUUGAGCUUUAUCCCCAGCCCUUUUUAUUUUUUGAGACAGGAUCUUGCUAAAUUGCCCAGGCUGGCCUUGAAUUUGGGAUCCUGCUGCUUCAGUUUCCAGAGUAACUGGGAUUCAGCCCUCCAAAUAUAAAGAGCCUAAGAGCUUUCAACAAGAAGAAAAAAGGAAAAACAGGUCAAAGCAUCAAGAAUCAGGAGCAGGAUUGAACUCGGGACCUUGCGCUUGCAAGGCAGGCACCGGAACCACUGAGCUAAAUCCUUGGCCCCAGACAACAAUUCUGACAGUGGAGCUGCCAAGUGAUUGAAGAGGGGAAAGCAAGUUGCUCCAGAACCUGGGAAGAAGCAAAAGGCUGGUGGGACUUUGAGAGCUCCGUUGUCUCCUGGGCACAGCAGGAGCAGCAGCAGUGAAAACAACAUGUUCCUGAGUGGGGAAGCAAGGUACUUCAUGCACAGGGUUUGUAAGGAAGGAGAUAACUGUCGUUACUCGCAGGACACCUCUCGGACAAUCCCUACGGUAUACUAUGCAAUUAUUUCCAGCAAGAGUACUGCGUGUAUGGAGAUGGCUACACAUAUGAGCACCGCAAGCCAUUGAAACAGGAAGAAGCAGUAGCUAUAGAUCUAACUGCAAAAGCACCCCUUGCCGCUGCCUCGAGUUCCUCCUCCGUCGCUGAAGCUCUCAGGGAGAUGAAUACAGGCGAGGCUGAGUCCAGAAAUGCAAAUUCCCCGCCCUAGGUACAGUACAGGGUCAGAGGACUGGGUGAAUGCCAUUGAGUUCUGCCCAGCCAGCCCUACUGUGACCACGCCGCCCCUGCCUGCACAAAGGUCCUGGUGCAGGGAUCAGUGCCCAAGGCAGAGUCUGAGGAGCUGGCUACGUGGAGACCGAGAAGCAGCUCUGCCCCUAAGCGCUGUGGGAGAACUGCGUGUGGUGACACCUGGGACAUGUGCGGGCUGCAGGUCCAGCUCCUGGUGGAUACAGUCCAGAGGUCCCAGCAAAUAAAAUCUUGCAUCGAGGCCCAUGAGAAGGACAUGGAGCUGUCCUUUUCGGUGCAGUGCAGCAAGGACAUGGUGUGUGGCAUCUGCAUGGGGUACGAGAAAGCCAACCCCAGUGAGCGCCGCUUCGGCAUCCUCUCCAGCUGAGACCAUACCUGGUGUCUCAAGUGUAUUCGAAAGUGGAGGAGUGCUAAGCAUUUUGAGAACAAGAUCAUAAAGUUCUGGGCUGAAUGCCAGAUCACAUCUACAUUUGUCAUUCCAAGUGAGUGCUGGGUGGAGGAGAAAGAGAAGCAGAAACUCAUUCAGAAAUACAAGGAGGCAAUGAGCAAAGGCAUGCAGGUAUUUUGAUGAAGGCCAUGGGAGCUGCCCAUUUGGAGGAAACUGUUACUAAAUUUUUUUUUUUGGUAUAGGGGAUUGAACUUGGGACCUUGCACUUGCAAAGCAGGUGCCGGAACCACUGAGCUAAUUCCCCAGCCCUUGGAGGAAACUGUUUUUACAAGCAUGGGAACCCUGAUGACUUAAAGAGGAGCCACAGAGACAGAAAGUGGGAACAUCAAGCAGAUACUGGGUCCAACAGAGGAACCACUUCUGGGAGCUCACUGAGGAAAGAGAGAACAGAAGCCCCUUUGACAAUGAUGAAGAAGAGGCUGUCACCUUUGAGCUGGAUAAGAUGUUGCUUAUGCUUUUGGCUGCAAGUGGGGGCAAUGAACUGACUGACACUGACAACGAGUGGGACUUGUUUCACGAUAAGUUGGAAGACUUUUGUGACUUGGACCUCUACCGGCUUUGCAUGGCCUGGGAUCGGCCUACCGAGCCUCAAACAGUAGAUGUCCCCUGUGCCGUAUGGCAGUGAGUUGCUCUCCUACUCAGGCCUCAACUCCAGGUGCUGUCGUGACCACUUACCGGGUCCUACCCCACCCCACUUCCCCAAGACUGUGUCAUUUUCUUGGUUGCAAAAAGUUACAAAAACAAAUCUUCAAGUUAGAAAAAAAAAAGAACCAGUAUAGCUGAACAUGGUGGCACACACUUGUAGCAAGAUCCUGUCACAAAGUAAAAUGGGCUGGGGAAGUAGGUCAGUGAUAGAAAGUCUCCUGGGUCCCAUCCCCAGAAAUGGGGGGAAAACAUCAGAGUGGUACAUUGGCUUCUACUGAAGACAUUGAAUAUUAGAUCACUAUGAAGUUUUGAAUUUAAAACUUAUGGGGGAACAUGAUGUUUAUAUUUAUCCUAAAUAACUAUGUAAAGGUAGUAUAGAGACAUGCAAGUGCUCUGAUGUUUUACUUCCCCAGCACUCAGUCCUAGGACACUCCUGGAGGAUACAUUUUAGCAAAAUGAGGAUGCGUGAUAUGAAAGGAAAAGCUCUGCACCAUGGAAACUGGAGAAACCCAGAGGAGCAAUGAGGACAGGCCCAGCAAGACCCAUGGCAUAGGGUUGUACAAGAAAGAAAACAGAGUAAUGGAAGUCACCAUAAUACCUAAAAUUGAUGAACUAUGACAUAGUAGCAUGUGCAUACUAUUUAGAAAAGUGGAAGAAAACAAGAAAAAAACAUUUCAGAGAGUUGAAAUUGGUUGGUCCUGGAGGAUGGGUAAAGGACAGUUGUGUUUUGUCAUGAAUCUGUGGCCUUUUUGUUUUUAUCUAUGUACAUUACUUGAUAAAAAUGGGAACACUUAUGUACUGCUGAUCCAAAUGUAAGAUGGUGCAGCCAUUAACCUUAGAAAGUUAAACACAGUUACACUAUGUCAGGGUUUGGAGGUGCUAUGUUGCUAUGUCCUCCAGGGCUCAGGGGCUUGGUCUCUACUGCAGCAAUAUUCAGAGAGGGUACUUUUUGGAACCAGAUGGAUCAUGAGGACUCUAACUUCAUCAAUGGAUAAAUCCAUUAAUGAAUUCAUAGCUCAAUGAGCUUAUUAGGAAGUGGAGUCUAGUUGGAAGAAGCAAGUCACUGGGGGUAUGGCUUUGAAGGGUGUAUUUUGUUCCCAGCCCCUUCCUCUCCAGCUCACUCUGCUUACUGACUGCCUUGAUGUGAGCAGCUUUAUUCUGCCAUGCCCUUGUGCCAUUCCUUGUGCUACGGAAUACAGAAUACAGCAAUGGAAGCAGAUACCAUAGACUGACACUUCCGAAACUGUGAGUCAAAAUUAACAUUCUUCCUUUAAGCUGAUUUUCUCAGGUAUUAUAUAACAGUGACAAGAAAGUUAAUACAGCAUACAACCCUGCAAUUUCAUUCCUAGCUAUAUAGCCAAGACAGGUGUUUGCAGGAAUAGUUCUGUAGCAUUCAUAAUAACCAAAAAUGCAAACAAUACAAAUGUUCAUCAGUUGAUGAACAGAGAAAUAAAAUGUGGUAUGUACAUCCAUACAAUGGAAGACUAUUCUGUAAAAAGGAAGGAAAUACUGAUACAUAUUACAACAUGGUGAAACACAAAAGGCCGCAUAUUAUAUAAUUCCAUUAAUGUCAAGUGUUCAGAAUAGGCAACUCUAUAUACACAAAGUUAAUUGAGUAGAUUAGAGAUGUAGCUCAGUGACAGAGUGUGUGCUUAGAAUGGACAAGGGCCUGGAUCUGAGCACUGCUAAAAAGAGUUUAUUGGUUAGCUAAGGGUAGGGGGAGGAAGAGAUGAGGAGUAACUGCUAAGGAGUAUGGGAGUUCUUUUUUGGGGUAAUGAAAGUGUUCUUAGGGCCAGGGAUUUAGCUCAGUGUUUCCAUCACCUGCCUUGUAAGCACAAGGUUCCGAGUUUGAUCCCCAGUACCCCCAAAAAAGUGUUCAUGUGAUGUUUGCACAACAUUGUGAAUAUAUUUUAAAACUACUAAACUGCACACUUUAAAAAAGGC
ensembl:lncRNA